rnacentral:rRNA from 1 species
GACGAACGCUGGCGGCGUGCUUAACACAUGCAAGUCGAACGGAAAGGCCCUGCUUUUGUGGGGUGCUCGAGUGGCGAACGGGUGAGUAACACGUGAGUAACCUGCCCUUGACUUUGGGAUAACUUCAGGAAACUGGGGCUAAUACCGGAUAGGAGCUCCUGCUGCAUGGUGGGGGUUGGAAAGUUUGGGCGGUUGGGGAUGGACUCGCGGCUUAUCAGCUUGUUGGUGGGGUAGUGGCUUACCAAGGCUUUGACGGGUGGCCGGCCCGAGAGGGGGGGCGGCCACAUUGGGACUGGGAUAAGGCCCGGACUCCUACGGGAGGCAGCGGAGGGGAAUAGUGCACAAUGGGCGGAAGCCUGAUGCAGCAACGCCGCGUGCGGGAUAACGGCCUUCGGGUUGUAAACCGCUUUCGCCUGUGACGAAGCGUGAGUGACGGUAAUGGGUAAAGAAGCACCGGCUAACUACGUG